rnacentral:lncRNA from 1 species
GACAGUCCCCAGGUUUGUGAAGCCAUCCAUCUCGCUUAGUGUCAGCAGCCUCGGGAGCACAGUGUCCCGAUUGGGGGGCGGGGGACGGGGGGAAGCGGAGGAACGGUGCCCGCCCGAGGCUCAAACGCCGGCUGGGCGGCUGCAUCACACUCGGGCUGCAUCUUCUGCUCGGCUCCCCCGCUCCCUCCCACCCAGUGCUCACGCCCUCCUUGGGCUUCUCCGAAUCAAUUCAACAUUUAUUAGGCUCUUACUGCAUACCACACCCCCGGAAUACAAAGGCCGAAAAGCUCGCUCGCCUCCUCCAUCCCCACAGGCUGCGGCUGCUGCAAGUGGCCCAGAUUGGCACAGAGCCUUCUGCCCUCAGUUCCCUCCCUGGGCUCCUUCCACCCCGUACCAGAGAAAAACUGCAGAAACUAUCAGUCCCCCGCCUGGCAGGCCUUGGUUUCCUCACAGCCCCCUCUCACCAGGGCCGGGCCGGAGGGGCUUCCAUUUUCCAGGCAUCCCCUCCAAAUUCUCCGGCACUCCCUCAUAUCACUGCCUCCCCCUCUCCAGGGCUCUCUGCUGGGGUGGAAAGAGCUCCGCUUAAAAACAAGCCCUGCCCCUCCAUCUUAGAAUCAAUACAGGGUAUUGGCUCCCAGGCAAGAAGAGCCAUCAAAGCUGGGCAAUGGGGGUUAAGUGACUUGUCCAGGGUCACACCACUAGGAAGUGUCCAGGUAGAGCUCACAUAUAGAUGCUCUCGACACCCACCACACCCAGCAUCCUAACCACUGGAUUUCCUCAUUUGUGAAAUGCAGAGGUGAUGGGGAGGGGUCUCUUCUAGCUCAGAGUCCCCCAACCCAAGUACAUUCAUCCUACUCCUUCUAGAAUUCCUCUUGUUCAGCCCUUCAAACCUUCCUGCUCAGCCUCAGUUUGUCCACUGCCCAAGUUUCUUCCCUCCAAUCGCAGUCCCUCCCCCUCCAAGUCCUUCGGCCUCCAGGUGUCCCUGAGCUGCUGCUCCCUCCCAUCCUCCCUUGGGCCUCUAAUCUCUCCCUCCUCCCCUCCCACCCAGUC